NNAGAAGAUUAGCAUGGCCCCUGCACAAGGAUGACACGCAAAUUCGUGAAGCAUUCCAUAAAAAA
rnacentral:snRNA from 1 species